AGGAAUUGUUGCUGAACUUGUUGGGAUUAAGACAAGGUUAAUAAUCAAGAUUCUGGUGGAGAUAUAAAUUACCAUGCAGAUUAAAGAAAAAAUAACCUUUGUGCAUGAACCAGAACUAAACCAAAAUCAGCCAACAUUAAUCUUUGGAAUUUUAUCAAACAUUGUUCUUGAAAGCUAACAAAGGUCUAAAGAAAAGGAAAAUGUUUCACAAAAAGGCAGUACAAAAAACUACUGGGAUUGUACGAGACCAACAGCAUUUUACAUUAACUUAUCUGAUGACAAUAUCUUCACAAAGAGCUUAAAUGCUAUACAAACAUAUGUAAUCACUGCUCAUACAACCAUUAACAAGUUUCUAUUUUAAUUGUUAUAAGCCACAAUAUUUUUAUACUAAUUUCAUUUAAAAACCAAAUAAUGUUUCUAAUAUAAAUGUUAUA